UACGGAGGGUGCGAGCGUUUGUCCGGAAUCACUGGGCGUAAAGGGCGCGUAGGCGGUCUGCUAAGCGUGCGGUGAAAGCCUGGGGCUCAACCCCAGGUCUGCCGUGCGAACUGGUGGACUAGAGCACUGUAGAGGCAGGUGGAAUUCCGGGUGUAGCGGUGGAAUGCGUAGAGAUCCGGAAGAACACCGGUGGCGAAGGCGGCCUGCUGGGCAGUUGCUGACGCUGAGGCGCGACAGCGUGGGGAGCAAACAGG
rnacentral:rRNA from 1 species